rnacentral:rRNA from 1 species
AUGAUUGUUGAAUUUGAUCAUGUGAAGCAAAAAGGCAUUAGGCACAUCAAAAAUAAUUAAAUUCAUCAUCAUUAUCUAGGCCACAAUAUUCAGAAUGAGUUAAUUUCAGUUUUUAUUGAUGUUGAGAGAAAGGUUAUCUUAAAGGUCAUCAAGGAUGUCAAGUGUUUCUCUAUUGUCAUGGAUUGUACCAUGGAUGUGGGCCAUGAAGAACAAGUGACUCUAAUUGUGUGUUGUGUGAACAUGUGAAGUAACUUUCCAAGAGUGGAUGAGUUUUUCCUAGAGUUCUUAAAGGUUGAUUGCAUGUAUGAAGGUGGUUUUAAGGUAUUCAUGGAUACAUUGGGUUCUCUUGAUUUGGGCAUCUCUUAUAUGAGAAGUCAAGGUUAUAACAAUGGUUCCAAUAUGAACGGAAAAGGCAAAGCUGUUCAGAAUCAUUUGCUUGAAAUUAACAAAGCAUUAUAUAUGCCAUGUGCAUGUCAUAGUUUGAAUCUCACUCUUUGUGAUAUGCCAAAAUCUUGCAAACAAGCUAUUGCAUUCUUUGGUGUUAUCACAAUGGAUAUACAUAUUAUUUUCACGUUCUACUCGAGGGGGCAGGAUUUGCUUGAGAAUGUUCCAAAAACUUACUGUCAAACCUUUGUCUAG